rnacentral:rRNA from 1 species
ACUGGGCGUAAAGGGCACGCAGGCGGACUUUUAAGUGAGGUGUGAAAUCCCCGGGCUUAACCUGGGAAUUGCAUUUCAGACUGGGGGUCUAGAGUACUUUAGGGAGGGGUAGAAUUCCACGUGUAGCGGUGAAAUGCGUAGAGAUGUGGAGGAAUACCGAAGGCGAAGGCAGCCCCUUGGGAAUGUACUGACGCUCAUGUGCGAAAGCGUGGGGAGCAAACAGGAUUAGAUACCCUGGUAGUCCACGCCGUAAACGAUGAGUGCUAGGUGUUAGACCCUUUCCGGGGUUUAGUGCCGCAGCUAACGCAUUAAGCACUCCGCCUGGGGAGUACGACCGCAAGGUUGAAACUCAAAGGAAUUGACGGGGGCCCGCACAAGCGGUGGAGCAUGUGGUUUAAUUCGAUGCAACGCGAAGAACCUUACCUACUCUUGACAUCCAGAGAACUUUCCAGAGAUGGAUUGGUGCCUUCGGGAACUCUGAGACAGGUGCUGCAUGGCUGUCGUCAGCUCGUGUCGUGAG